rnacentral:lncRNA from 1 species
GCAAAUUACAUCAGACGAACAAUACAUCUUGGGCGGCACAUUAUUCUGGACGGCAACAUCAAAUUAGACGAGAACAAAAGGUGCCAUCAAGAGAGAAGAAGGUGAUUGGUUCGAGGGUUCAAGUCGCGAUCAAGAUUCACGUCCGGAUUGCACUGUACCAGACCCUAGAACUUUCCCUUUACUAUUAUUUCCAAAGGAUAUAUCACCCCCUCCAUGGAUUUUAAAGUCUUUGAGGAGGGCUUUACAUCCUGUCAUGUGCCUGGAGCCUCCACUAUCUACAUACUAAAGACUAUCAAAGCAUGCAGAAGCUCCCUGCACAUGAAGUAAAAGGAUUAGUUCAUUAAGGGCUCCAAAGCCAACAGGGCUUUGGAUGGGGAUUCAACAGUGUCUGGUAUGGGUGCAGUGUGAUGGACAGUGGUUAGGUCAGGGGUUUGAACAGUUUUAGUACUGUGUCUUGCUAACCACUGUUGAGGGUCUUGACCAAUCACCUGCUGAUAGCCAAAAGGAUGCCUAUUCACUUUAGGUUUAGAGGGCCUUUUGUAGGCCUCAUAAACGUGUGGAAUCCUUUGAUGUUUGGUUCAGCUGUUUGUGACAGCUGUUUGAACUGGUACAAACAGUGGUUGUUUCUUGGUGAAUUUGACAGAUGAUGAUGCUGAUGGACUCAAGGGUACUCCUUUGCAGCAGAGGUUUUAACCACUGCUGGAAUGUCCUUGAGAGACUAUUGAUCAGCUGCUGCAACCUUCUACUGUUGUGAACCCAGCAGCACUUGUCCGGAUCAGCAGUGCUUGACUCAAAGCAGUAGAUUGAAUCAGCAGGGCUUUAGUCUUUCAUCAGGUCUUUACUUGAGCAGCAGUUGUAGGUCAGCAUUUAGCAAGAUCAGCAGAUAGAAGGUCAGCAGAUGUUGAAUUCACUUUCAAGGGGAGAGAUUUGUAUGUAAACAUCUGCUUAUUCAGGUUCCACUGCUCUGAUCCAGUUUUGGCUUUAAUUAUCUGUUCCUCUGAUAGGGUUCAAUCCCAAC